rnacentral:misc_RNA from 1 species
GAAAUGCGAUAAGUAGUGUGAAUUGCAGAAUUCAGUGAAUCAUCGAAUCUUUGAACGCACAUUGCGCCCCUUGGUAUUCCAUGGGGCAUGCCUGUUCGAGCGUCAUCUACACCCUCAAGCUCUGCUUGGUGAUGGGCGUCUGUCCCGCCUCGGCGCGCGGACUCGCCCCAAAGUCAUUGGCAGCGGUCCCGUCCGCCUCUCGCGCAGCACAUUUGCGCUUCUCGAGGCGUCGGGGUCCGCGUCCAUCAAGCGACCCACCAUUUUUGACCUCGGAUCAGGUAGGGAUACCCGCUGAGUUUAA